rnacentral:ncRNA from 1 species
CUGUGGUUGAAAGUCGAUGCCAGUCGCAGGCGAAGCGAUCCACGUAAGGAGCUCAAAGCAGCUCUGAUCAUAGUGCGGCCUAGAAGUAAGACCUGCCGCGAAACGGCGAGAGAAGUAGUAGUGGGGGAUAUACAUCUAUGAGCGAACCUUCCAGCAGGCGAGUGUGGGGGUAAAGACCAGGUCAGGCA